rnacentral:rRNA from 1 species
UACGAAGGGGGCUAGCGUUGCUCGGAAUCACUGGGCGUAAAGCGCACGUAGGCGGAUUGUUAAGUCAGGGGUGAAAUCCUGGAGCUCAACUCCAGAACUGCCUUUGAUACUGGCGAUCUCGAGUCCGGGAGAGGUGAGUGGAACUGCGAGUGUAGAGGUGAAAUUCGUAGAUAUUCGCAAGAACACCAGUGGCGAAGGCGGCUCACCGGCCCGGUACUGACGCUGAGGUGCGAAAGCAUGGGGAGCAAACAGG